rnacentral:rRNA from 1 species
UACGUAGGGUGCGAGCGUUUGUCCGGAAUUAUUGGGCGUAAAGAGCUCGUAGGCGGUCUGUCGCGUCGGUCGUGAAAACUUGGGGCUUAACCCUGAGCUUGCGGUCGAUACGGGCAUGACUGGAGUUCGGUAGGGGAGACUGGAAUUCCUGGUGUAGCGGUGAAAUGCGCAGAUAUCCGGAGGACACCGGUGGCGAAGGCGGCUCCUG